rnacentral:lncRNA from 1 species
CGGAGUCCUUCUUUCAACUUGGUUCUGUGUCCUCAGACACGGUUGCCCCCUGGCCACCUGCCUACCCACCUGUCACCUCCUACCCACCCCUGAGCCAGCCAGACCUGCUCCCCAUCCCGUGAGUAGCUGCUCAGCCCCUGCCCCUCCAAAGCUCAGCCCCUCCCCCUCCAAACUCCACUCUCUACCCCUUCACUUUUUUGGAUUGGGGGCCCCUUUCCCUUUUGCAACUGCUGUUGCCCCCUGAGCCCCACCUCAGGCAUGACCCCUGACCUUUGACUCCCAGAAGAUCCCCGCAGCCCCUUGGGGGCUCCCACCGGACGCCAUCUUCCCGGCGGGAUUCUGAUGGUGCCAACAGUGUGGCGAGCUACGAGAACGAGGAACCAGCCUGUGAGGAUGCGGAUGAGGAUGAGGACGACUAU